AAUAGAUACCCGGGUAGUCCACCCCGUAAACGUUGGGAACUAGUUGUGGGGUCCUUUCCACGGAUUCCGUGACGCAGCUAACGCAUUAAGUUCCCCGCCUGGGGAGUACGGCCGCAAGGCUAAAACUCAAAGGAAUUGACGGGGACCCGCACAAGCGGCGGAGCAUGCGGAUUAAUUCGAUGCAACGCGAAGAACCUUACCAAGGCUUGACAUACACCAGAACACCCUGGAAACAGGGGACUCUUUGGACACUGGUGAACAGGUGGUGCAUGGUUGUCGUCAGCUCGUGUCGUGAGAUGUUGGGUUAAGUCCCGCAACGAGCGCAACCCUCGUUCUAUGUUGCCAGCACGUAAUGGUGGGAACUCAUGGGAUACUGCCGGGGUUCAACUCGGAGGAAGGUGGGGAUGACGUCAAAUCAUCAUGCCCCUUAUGUCUUGGGCUUCACGCAUGCUACAAUGGCCGGUACAAUGGGCUGCGAUACCGUAAGGUGGAGCGAAUCCCAAAAGCCGGUCCCAGUUCGGAUUGAGGUCUGCAACUCGACCUCA
rnacentral:rRNA from 1 species